UGCGUGCGCGUUUUGGAAGUUAUGGCAGGAUGCGUUUGCCUCGUCGUGCUGAAGGAUGGCCAGCGGAAAAAAGUUUCACUCCCUAACGGUGCCUACGGCGAACUGAUGGAUGCUCUCGCUUCCUUAACCAACAUACAUGACAAGACCUUGAUCCAAAUGUAUGAUGAAGAGCUAGACGACUAUGUUGAUCUUGAGGAAGGAAGUGACGUCCCAAACAAGGCUAAAAUAAAAUUGGCGCGGAAACAAGGCCUUCAUGUUGAUGGUGCCAGCCCUGCGUUGACUUUUGUGCAGAGUGCAGGAGGAGCUGUGGAAAUGGCCGAGCAGAGUGCCGUGACAGAAAACGCACAAAACGUGCAGUCCAUCUAGUCGGUGCCACUGGAAAAGGAACGGGAUUUUUUAGGUUUUGUGCUCCCUUCUUUUGGGCACUACGACGAGGUGCUGAGGAGAAAAAUACAAAUAAAUGGCGCUGUGCGCCGUGCCAUAGUUGACAAGCUCUUUGGCGCAUACAUCAAGAUCGCAUGGAAUCAUGGGUGAUGGCCCUGAGGAACAAGUUCCAACAACACAAGAAAAAAGCUACAAAACUUCUCGGAGGAAAUGCUAAUUCGAAAGAAACGCUGUCUGCCAAAGCAAAUGCAGGCACCAUCUGAAGAAGUGGCAAACAACAAAUUGUGCCGUCUUUUUGACUGCAGCCAUCUUACUACAUAUGGAGAAACCGUUGAGUCCUUGCAAAUUCAUAACGAAAGGCUCCAGAAUAAUGCAGCCUGCCAUGAUAAAGCAACAGGAAGGCCAAGGUUGCGGGCAACAGCACUGGACAGGCAUAAAGAGCUUCGCAGCCUCACCCUGUCGGAUGCUCUUUUACUGUUUCCAUUUCUUGGAACUGAGGCAUUGGAACAAGCCGUGCUCACACCUUGCCUUGUGGAGAAAGGACUUACUCUACACAUUGACGGGGAGCCCGUUUUGAGUGUGCCAUCACUUCUUGCAGGAAUGGCGUGCCUGUUUCCAUCGUUUUGGGUAUUCCAUGUGGAAUACCCAAAAAAAGGCACACAAAAUGCUCACAUUCCUUGAGCAUGCGUUCCUACACUUUUCACACAUGAAGCCGAAUGUCAAAGCUCUGGAACUUAUAAAUGUUUUUUUAAUGAGUAACAUUAAUUUAGUUUCACAAUUUUCUUCAAGUACGUUGUGCAAGCUGGCAUUUUGGACUUCUGUGCCUUGAGAAGAGGUGAAAAAGAAAAUAUGACAGACAAAUGUUAAGAUUGCAUUUUUUUGUGCAAGGUUUUUUUUUCUUAAACCUUGGCCAUGUGUCGCAUGUGGAAUAUGGCGUGCACUUGUACAACCAAUGUGUACAUUUUUUUAUUGCAAACAAGUUCUGCGGUAUCGCACAAGGUGGAGGAAAGAUUAAGAAAGGAAAAAUAGACAACCACCUGUUUGUAACAUGAAGCCACAAGAAAAUUCAUGCAGCUUUCUUGGGGAAAAAAAAGCUUCUUCGUUGCCGAAAAAUUUGUCCUAGUUCGAGGUCCCGGACCAGGAUGAAUUUUUCGACAACGAGGAAGCUUUUCUUUCGGAUAAAUCUGUAUGGAUUGCCUUGUGGCUUCGUGUUACAAACGGGUGGUUAUCUGUUUUCUCUUUCUUAACCUUUCCUCCACCUUGCGGGAUUCCACAGAACUCAUAGCUUUUUAGUUGCUGAAAAAUUUUUCCUGGUCCGGGGUCUGGGACCCCAGAAAAGAACAAAUUUUUCGGCAACUAAAAAGCUUUUCUUUCUGAGAAAUCCAUAUAGAUUUCCUUGUCGCUUCAGGCUACAAAUGGGUGGUUGUCUAUUUUUCCUUUCUUAAAUUUUUUUUUAUUAUUAAACCAUGCCUGGCAGCAUUUAUAAAAACAAUUUUCAUUUUGUGAUGUCAACAAUGUGCCCAUGGCCUCGCAGGUUGGCUACUUGCUUUAAAAUGUUUUAUCCGCCAUUGCAAUUUUUAGAUGGGCCACACAGGUCUUGAGUAUUCAGUGAGAAAGCCUAGUCACUUUUGAAUGUUGUGACAUCAUGAGUGAUAAAAUGGUGACUACAGGUAUCUUAUUUGCAUUUGUAUUGUUUGCGUAUGGUAUAUGUGGUAGCCAUAUAUUAUAGGUUAUAUUUAAGGUAUACAUGUUUACAAGUUUGUCAGUCUUUUUGUCAUGAAACAACUGUGAUCAGUUGACCUGUCUCAAUAUAUUUUUAAGGUAUCCACGAUUUAUUUCAUUGUGCUAAGUCAUGGUGAACAGAAUAAUUGCAGCCGUGAAAAUUGCUGUUCAAUUUAGUUGACAGCACAGAUCUCUAGUCAUGUGUGAAAGUGCUUUACACAUAGUACUGCGCAAUUAGCUGUUUCAGUUUAUAGAAAUGUCAUGAAUGUGUGAUAUCGAUAUCUGAUAGGGCCACCUUCUUUUACAUUUAUAUAGGCUUAUCAUUUAUUGGCAGUUAAGGCACUGCUAUACAAUACCUGCAUUUUGUAUGUUUCUGUCCGCAGAAGUGCUCACUGCCGGAAAUUCAACACUAGACGUGUAUUAUAUAUGCUAUUGG